AUUGAACGCUGGCGGCAGGCCUAACACAUGCAAGUCGAGCGGAGCGGCGGACGGGUGAGUAAUGCCUAGGCAUCUGACUGGUAGUGGGAGCUGGCGUCCGCAAACGGGCGCUACUACCGCAUACUCUCAGUUUAGCCUCGGUCGGAUGAGCUAGUUGGUGGGGUAAAGGCCUACCAAGGCGACGAUCCGUAACUGGUCUGAGAGGAUGAUCAGUCACACUGGAACUGAGACAAGGUCCAGACUCCUACGGGAGGCAGCAGUGGGGAAUAUUGGACAAUGGGCGAAAGCCUGAUCCAGCCAUGCCGCGUGGGUGAAGAAGGGCUUCGGAUUGUAAAGCACUUUAAGUUGGGAGGCGUUACCAACAGAAUAAGCACCGGCUAACUACGUGCCAGCCGCCGCGGUAAUAC
rnacentral:rRNA from 1 species